ensembl:lncRNA
AGCGAAGCCCACCCCCAGCCCAGGGAUGCCAGCCGGCUGGUCCAGGCGCCACACCUCCGCCCGUACGGUGCAGAGCCCCCGCCUGGUACAAGAGCUGAGCUCAGGCCCGACAAUACGUCCCAAACCAAAAACAGCAGCCGUCUCAGUCCUGUGGACACUGUCAAUCUCACCCAGCCCGGGCAGUGAGAAGUCACCUACACAGGAAACUGGGCCCAGGACCCUUCCUAAGCCGCCGACUGACCCCAGCCUGGCCUCCAGCGCGCGGCAGCGGCAGAGAGGAGGCGGGGCUCCAGCCAGCCUUUCCGCCUUUUCCCAAGCCGCCGCCGGCCCCCGGGUUCUGCUGCGCCUCCCUCACGCCUGCCUCUGAGCCCUGUUCCCCAUCGGCUCUGAUCAGAUCCAGGAGCCUUUCCCCAGCUGCAGGAAGAGGUCUGGACCCACCUGAGAUAGCAAGGCCUUCCUCUGGGCCAGGACCCACGUUUGAUCAGUUAACUUGGGGGUGGGAUGGGGAAUGAGGGCAGCACCGGCCGGGGCCCAGGACACACCCCGUACCAGCCGCAGCAUCAGGAUGCAGUGUCUCCCGGAGCCCACCCGCUCUGCGUGUCUGGGUGCCGCCAUCGCGUCUUCCCAGCAGCUCUGCCAGGCAGAAAUUACAGCCACCACUUUGCAUCCCCAGGAACUCACAGCCUCACCCCAUCUCUCCUUGGGGGAUCCUGUUCAAACCCGGGUCUGUUUGGCUUUAAGUUACCUUCUCAAGCACGGAGACCUGCUGACGUGGUGUACUUCAAUUCAACCAAUUUGCAUGCCAGGCUGGUGCAGAGAUGUCGAGGGAGCGGGAGUGGGCAGCCUGCCUAACCCCAAGGCCCAGGUGGGGGCAGCAGUAAGGCACAUCGCCCCCGGUCCCGUCAAGGGCUCCUUACCGCAGAGUCCGGCAGAGCACGAGGUCCCGUCGAAUCAGCCCCAGGCGGCCUGUCAGCCGCUAUUUCGCACUCUGGGAUCUCAUGGUGGAAGGGAGCCCCUACCUCAGCUACAAAGGAUCAGACAGUUCCAGAGAGUAUCCAAACAAAGCUGUCUCCCGGGAUCAGUGGGUGCGCUCUUCCCAAGUUUGCUAGAAGAUUCCAACUCCUGUCUCUUCCUGGACCUCGCCUGGAGCUGGCCCUGCAGUUUCCCUGGAAAGAACAACUCCGUCUCUUAAACCACGGUCAGAUUUCGGCACAGUUCCAUCUGUCUGCUGCAACCACAUGAGUUCUGCUCAUCUGUUUAUUUAGAGAUUCCGGUAUCUUGUGUGUCACUGGUCCGAGAGCCUGCGUGCAGAAC